UCUCCUAGGGAUCCCCCUCCAAAGAUUUUCUGUUUUCAGGAUUUGGAAGAGCGAGCUACGUGGAUUUUUUCAGAAAUAUCAAACAGAAUUCACAGUUAAAGUAUUUUUGCACGAUCGUCACUCCAAAGGCGUGACUCUCGCGCAAGGGGCAAAUGUGGGUCCAAGUGCAAAUUAGGGUUCACUUGACCUAAUCGAAUUAAAUGCACGAAUUAAGCUUCACAUUAUGAUUAUAUGAAAAGACGAAAGAGCCGGAAAUAAAGAAGCAAGAUCUGAGAGAAUUUUCCACUUGUCCCGAGGCAGAAGACAUGUGGAGGCAACUUAUUUUGGGAAUUGAUUGAGGGAUUGGAUUGGUGGCUAGAAGGGCAGGACGAUCUGGGCAUUACUCUGAUGACUAAGGGUAAAUAUGAAAUUUUCCCGAAGUCAUGCGCCUAGCACAUGACCACUCUCCAGAAAACCCUAUAAAUACCCUUUCCACUCCAUUGGGAAGGGGACCUCUCUUCAGAGACAGGACUUGGACUCUUGGAAGAUCAAAGGACCUGAGCAUUCUCUCUCAACACUCAAGAAGACUCUUGGAAUCCCAAUAACCCUAACAAGGUUUCCGGAUUCUAGGAGUGGAAGGACUCAAGAAGAAGGCUCUUGGAAUCCCUGUUACCCUAACACGGUUUCCGGAUUCUAGGAGUUCUGCCACGUGUCGUUGGAAUAAUCGCCCACCUGUUCUUCUCUCCUCUUCAAUCAAUCAAUCAAUUCCGUAUUCUUCGUGGAUUUCUCUCCUCCUCAGCCAACACGAAACC
rnacentral:lncRNA from 1 species